rnacentral:rRNA from 1 species
AUACAGAGGGUGCGAGCGUUAAUCGGAAUUACUGGGCGUAAAGCGCGCGUAGGCGGUUAUUUAAGUCAGAUGUGAAAUCCCUGGGCUCAACCUAGGAACUGCAUCUGAAACUGGGUAACUAGAGUUUAGGAGAGGGGAGUAGAAUUUCGGGUGUAGCGGUGAAAUGCAUAGAGAUCCGAAGGAAUACCAGUGGCGAAGGCGACUCCCUGGUCUAGAACUGACGCUGAGGUGCGAAAGCGUGGGUAGCAAACGGGAUUAGAAACCCUUGUAGUCC